UACGAGGGGGGCGAGCGUUGUUCGGAAUUUAUUGGGCGUAAAGAGCGCGUAGGCGGUCCGAUAAGUCGGCUGUGAAAGUCAUGGGCUCAACCCAUGAAAGCCGGCCGAUACUGUCGGACUAGAGUCCGGAAGAGGCAAGUGGAAUUCCCGGUGUAGCGGUGAAAUGCGCAGAUAUCGGGAGGAACACCAAUGGCGAAGGCAGCUUGCUGGGACGGUACUGACGCUGAGGCGCGAAAGCGUGGGGAGCAAACAGG
rnacentral:rRNA from 1 species